rnacentral:rRNA from 1 species
UCCAGGCAAAUCCGGAAAAUCAAGGCUGAGGCGUGACGACGAGGCACUACGGUGCUGAAGCAACAAAUGCCCUGCUUCCAGGAAAAGCCUCUAAGCAUCAGGUAACAUCAAAUCGUACCCCAAACCGACACAGGUGGUCAGGUAGAGAAUACCAAGGCGCUUGAGAGAACUCGGGUGAAGGAACUAGGCAAAAUGGUGCCGUAACUUCGGGAGAAGGCACGCUGACACGUAGGUGAAGUGAUUUACUCAUGGAGCUGAA